rnacentral:sRNA from 13 species
GCCAGGCGUGGUGGCUCACGCCUGUAAUCCAAGCACCUUGGAGGCUAACAUGGGCCGAUCACCUGAGGUCAGGAGUUCAAGACCAGCCUGACCAACAUGGUGAAACCCCGUCUUUU